AGCAGCCGCGGUAAUUCCAGCUCCAAUAGCGUAUAUUAAAGUUGUUGCAGUUAAAAGCUCGUAGUUGAAUUUCGGGAUCAAUGUUUCGGUCAUGCCGUUGGUAUGUACUGAUAUUAUUGGUUUCUCACCUUCUAAAGAACCGUAAUGCCAUUAAUUUGGUGUCACGGGGAAUUAGGACUGUUACCUUGAAAAAUUAGAGUGUUUAAAGCAGGCUCACGCUUGAAUACAUUAGCGUGGAAUAAUGAAAUAGGACAUCCGAUUCUAUUUUGUUGGUUUCUAGGAUCGAUGUAAUGAUUAAUAGGGAUAGUUGGGGGCAUUAGUAUUCAAUUGUCAGAGGUGAAAUUCUUGGAUUUAUUGAAGACUAACUACUGCGAAAGCAUUUGCCAAGGAUGUUUUCAUUAAUCAAGAACGAAAGUUAGGGGAUCGAAGACGAUCAGAUACCGUCGUAGUCUUAACCAUAAACUAUGCCGACUAGGGAUCGGAUGAUGUUAAUUUUUAAUGACUCAUUCGGCGCCUUACG
rnacentral:rRNA from 1 species